GGUGGUAAUGCCGAAUGUUCCACAUGCUCGCAUGGGUGUGUGGGAAAACGUUUUAGUGCUAUGCGAUGGGAUCGCGUCCUAUCAGCUUGUUGGUGGGGUAGUGGCCUACCAAGGCUUCGACGGGUAGCCGGCCUGAGAGGGCGACCGGCCACAUUGGGACUGAGAUACGGCCCAGACUCCUACGGGAGGCAGCAGUGGGGAAUAUUGCACAAUGGGGGGAACCCUGAUGCAGCGACGCCGCGUGCGGGAUGACGGCCUUCGGGUUGUAAACCGCUUUUAUUGGGGAGCAAGCGUGAGUGAGUGUACCUUUUGAAUAAGCACCGGCUAACUACGUGCCAGCAGCCGCGGUAAUACGUAGGGUGCAAGCGUUGUCCGGAAUUAUUGGGCGUAAAGAGCUCGUAGGCGGUUUGUCGCGUCUGGUGUGAAAGUCCAUCGCUUAACGGUGGAUUGGCGCUGGGUACGGGCAGGCUAGAGUGUAGUAGGGGAGACUGGAAUUCUCGGUGUAACGGUGGAAUGUGUA
rnacentral:rRNA from 1 species